rnacentral:rRNA from 1 species
CCUACGGGGGAGCAGCAGUGGGGAAUAUUGGACAAUGGGGGGAACCCUGAUCCAGCCAUGCCGCGUGUGUGAAGAAGGCCUUUUGGUUGUAAAGCACUUUAAGCGAGGAGGAGGCUACCGAGAUUAAUACUCUUGGAUAGUGGACGUUACUCGCAGAAUAAGCACCGGCUAACUCUGUGCCAGCAGCCGCGGUAAUACAGAGGGUGCAAGCGUUAAUCGGAUUUACUGGGCGUAAAGCGCGCGUAGGUGGCCAAUUAAGUCAAAUGUGAAAUCCCCGAGCUUAACUUGGGAAUUGCAUUCGAUACUGGUUGGCUAGAGUAUGGGAGAGGAUGGUAGAAUUCCAGGUGUAGCGGUGAAAUGCGUAGAGAUCUGGAGGAAUACCGAUGGCGAAGGCAGCCAUCUGGCCUAAUACUGACACUGAGGUGCGAAAGCAUGGGGAGCAAACAGGAUUAGAUACCCUGGUAGUCCAUGCCGUAAACGAUGUCUACUAGCCGUUGGGGCCUUUGAGGCUUUAGUGGCGCAGCUAACGCGAUAAGUAGACCGCCUGGGGAGUACGGUCGCAAGACUAAAACUCAA